rnacentral:rRNA from 1 species
GACGAACGCUGGCGGCGUGCCUAAUACAUGCAAGUAGAACGCUGAAGGAGGAGCUUGCUUCUCCGGAUGAGUUGCGAAUGGGUGAGUAACGCGUAGGUAACCUGCCUGGUAGCGGGGGAUAACUAUUGGAAACGAUAGCUAAUACCGCAUAACAGUAGAUAUUGCAUGAUAUCUGCUUGAAAGGUGCAAAUGCAUCACUACCAGAUGGACCUGCGUUGUAUUAGCUAGUUGGUGAAGUAACGGCUCACCAAGGCGACGAUACAUAGCCGACCUGAGAGGGUGAUCGGCCACACUGGGACUGAGACACGGCCCAGACUCCUACGGGAGGCAGCAGUAGGGAAUCUUCGGCAAUGGACGGAAGUCUGACCGAGCAACGCCGCGUGAGUGAAGAAGGUUUUCGGAUCGUAAAGCUCUGUUGUAAGAGAAGAACGAGUGUGAGAGUGGAAAGUUCACACUGUGACGGUAUCUUACCAGAAAGGGACGGCUAACUACGUGCCAGCAGCCGCGGUAAUACGUAGGUCCCGAGCGUUGUCCGGAUUUAUUGGGCGUAAAGCGAGCGCAGGCGGUUAGAUAAGUCUGAAGUUAAAGGCUGUGGCUUAACCAUAGUACGCUUUGGAAACUGUUUAACUUGAGUGCAAGAGGGGAGAGUGGAAUUCCAUGUGUAGCGGUGAAAUGCGUAGAUAUAUGGAGGAACACCGGUGGCGAAAGCGGCUCUCUGGCUUGUAACUGACGCUGAGGCUCGAAAGCGUGGGGAGCAUACAGG